AGAAUCAACGCUGGCGGCGUGCCUAACACAUGCAAGUCGAACGAGAAAGUGGAGCAAUCCAUGAGUAAAGUGGCGCACGGGUGAGUAACACGUGACUAACCUACCCUUGAGUGGGGGAUAACCUAGGGAAACCUGGGCUAAUACCGACAUAAUACCUUCGGGUCAAAGGAGCAAUUCGCUUAAGGAGGGGGUCGCGGCCGAUUAGUUAGUUGGCGGGUAAUGGCCCACCAAGACUAUGAUCGGUAU
rnacentral:rRNA from 1 species